GAUGAACGCUAGCGAUAGGCCUAACACAUGCAAGUCGAGGGGCAGCAUAGAGUAGCAAUACUUUGAUGGCGACCGGCGCACGGGUGAGUAACACGUAUGCAACCUACCUACAUCAGGGGAAUAACCCGGAGAAAUUCGGACUAAUACCGCAUAAUACAGGGAUGCCGCAUGGCAAUAUUUGUUAAAGAUUUAUCGGAUGUAGAUGGGCAUGCGUUCCAUUAGCUAGUUGGUGAGGUAACGGCUCACCAAGGCAACGAUGGAUAGGGGAACUGAGUGGUUUGUCCCCCACACUGGAACGGCGACACGACCCAGACUCCUACGGGAGGCAGCAGUGAGGAAUAUUGAUCAAUGGACGAGAGUCUGAACCAGCCAAAUCGCGUGAAGGAAGACUGCCCUACGGGUUGUAAACUUCUUUUGUACAGGAAUAAAAGACAUUACGUGUAAUGUAUUGCAUGUACUGUACGAAUAAGCAUCGGCUAACUCCGUGCCAGCCGCCGCCGUAA
rnacentral:rRNA from 1 species